rnacentral:lncRNA from 1 species
CGUGUUGACUAAAAAGUCAAACACCUUCCCCAUUAACCUCUCCACCUUCACCAAACUUCAACAUCAACCUUACAACCUUCCCCAACAUCGAUUCAUCACUUUCAUAAAAUCCCCUAACACCCCCUUCUUCAUACAUAAACCAUACUACCUCAUCGAAGCAAUUCCACCAUUACAAAAUACCAUCCAAACCAUCACAAAUAUCAAUCUCACAACAACAAACAUAAAAAACAACAACAAAUCAUCAAAAACAACAACACAUCAUCAUAAACCAAAUCACAACAAAAAAACUCUCAAUACCAUACUCAUUAUAAUAACCACAACUCAAAACCAAAAAACAAAUGACAAUAAAUGUGAAAAAUACAAAAUCGCAAUAAGAAGAAGAAUAAAAAAAUUCAGAAAACGAAACUGUCAGCUC